UUGUGUUGUAUCCGAGUUAACGUGAGCUGUUAUGUGGCUUUAGCGUCUUUCGCAGAGUAAGUACAGUGUUACGUUCUUGUUGUGUUAAGGGCUGUAACAGUAAAUCACACAAUCAAAAAGGUAAUAAAUGAUCACGACGACAGAUAUUUUAAAUUUCCCGCUCGGAAGAAAGGAUAUUGACGGACUGUAGCAGUAACAACAGACGCAUCGGGUGUCCUGGCCAGCUGCAUUGAGACGCAAAAUAUAUCUUAAUUUCUCCGUUUAUGCUCUAAACAUUAUCACAAAGCCAAGCUGCAUAUGAGAUGAUGGAGACUGACCCAGACUGAGCAUCAUCUCUACAUCUGGGCCACACAGAAACUACACAGACAGACACUGCACACUCUGCAAGACAAACUUAGAGGAGGGAAAGAAAACCAACACUGCAGUCAGCUGAAGAUGUGGACGACCAACAUGCUAAGAAGGAGACACUUGAGGUUGAAGAUGGUGAGAGAUACUGAUGAGAAGACACACAACACUAAGGAGGUAGCUGAGACAAACUGAAUGUAAACUGUGUAUGGACGCGUGUAGAAAUAAACCACCUGUUGGAGGAGAACUGACAGCUGCUGUGUGAAAUUGAAGGAUACAGGAUGUCUGAUGGAUUUUGUAACAAGAAUGAUGCUAAAGUACCAAACAGUAAAAAAAACACACAAAAUCUUAAUAACAAGCACUGAGCCAUAAACAUGAUACUCCCUGGUGAAGGUGAAGAUGUCACAUUACAGCACAGGAUUGUAACUGUCAAACA